GUUGGCAAUGGCACAGUUGAGAACUUCUGGGUAAAAAUCAAGGGGCAAACAAAUAAUGCAGAUGUCAUUGUGGGAGUCUGCUGUAGACCUCCCAGCCAUGACAAUGACACCGAUGAUUUAUUCUUUGAGGAACUAAGGGACACUUCCAAAUCCCACCCUUAUGGGCGACUUCGACUUGCCAGAAAUUGACUGGGAGCAUCACACAGCUGGUACAACCCAGGAAGAAAAAUGCCAGCAAAACCUCAGCUCUGGACAUGAGGAGAGCAGACUUCAGGCUGCUCAGGGAAUUAGCAAGUAAGGUCCCCUGGGAAAAUGUAUUUGCAGAUGCUAAGGUGCAUCAGUCCUGUCCACUUUUUAAACAUCACCUCCUCAGGGCACAGGAGCAGGCAAUUCCCAAGUGUUGAAGUCAAGCAGGCAAGACAGAAGACUAGCUUGGCUGAAUAGGAAUCUUCUCAUGGAAACAAGGCAAAAAAGGAAGGUGUAUGACCAGUGGAAACAAGAUCAAGUGACAUAGGAACAAUUCAGAAAUGCUACUUGCUGCUGUAGGGAGCAAAUUUGUGCAGCCAAAGCUCAACUGGAACUAAAGCUGGUCAGAAAUGUGGUGGACAAUAAAAAGAGUUUUUUCAAA